rnacentral:tRNA from 1 species
GUGAGUGUAGCUCAGUGGUUUAGAGCACUGGUCUGUGGAACCAGGGGCCGUGGGUUCAAAUCCCAUCACUCACC